AUACGGAGGGGGCGAGCGUUGUUCGGAAUUACUGGGCGUAAAGGGCGCGUAGGCGGGCUGACAAGUCAGGGGUGAAAGUCCUGGGCUCAACCUGGGGACUGCCUUUGAAACUGUUAGUCUAGAGUCCGGGAGAGGAUGGCGGAAUUCCCAGUGUAGAGGUGAAAUUCGUAGAUAUUGGGAAGAACACCGGUGGCGAAGGCGGCCAUCUGGACCGGCACUGACGCUGAGGCGCGAAAGCGUGCGGAGCAAACAGGAUUAGAAACCCGUGUAGUCC
rnacentral:rRNA from 1 species